UGGGAGUUUAGCUCAGCUGGGAGAGCAUCUGCCUUACAAGCAGAGGGUCAGCGGUUCGAUCCCGUUACCUCCCAU
rnacentral:tRNA from 1 species